rnacentral:rRNA from 1 species
UACGUAGGGGGCAAGCGUUGUCCGGAAGCAUUGGGCGUAAAGAGCGUGUAGGCGGUUUGGUAGGUCCGUUGUGAAAACUCGAGGCUCAACCUCGAGACGCCGAUGGAAACCAUCAGACUAGAGUCCGGAAGAGGAGAGUGGAAUUCCUGGUGUAGCGGUGAAAUGCGCAGAUAUCAGGAAGAACACCCGUGGCUAAGGCGGCUCUCUAGUACGGUACUGACGCUGAGACGCGAAAGCGUGGGGAGCGAACAGG